ACAGCACUCUCACACCCAUCACACACAGCACUCUCUCACACCCAUCACACACAGCACUCUCACACACACACAGCACUCUCUCUCACACAGCACUCUCACACCCAUCACACACAGCACUCUCACACACACACAGCACUCUCUCUCACACAGCACUCUCACACCCAUCACACACAGCACUCUCACACACACACAGCACUCUCUCUCACACAGCACUCUCACACCCAUCACACACAGCACUCUCUCUCACACAGCACUCUCACACCCAUCACACACAGCACUUUAACACACACAGCACUCUCUCACACCCAUCACACUCACAGCACUCUCACAGAGCACUCACACACACACAACACUCUCACA